rnacentral:lncRNA from 1 species
CCCAGACUCACAUCCCAGUAACCCCACAUAUCACGCAAGUCCAAAUUCCCGGUAAAUCCACAAUUUUGCCUAAUUUUAUCACCCACCACAAUUUGAGCUUGAACUCUCAUUCUGCCUGAGUUCUGGAAUUCCUUUCAGAUGCUAUCUCUAAGAGUAAAAAGAACUUAGUCGUACAGGAUUCUUUUUUGUUUCGAUUUCUCCGUGUCUGCUUUGGUCCAAAGCAGAGAAUCUCAGCUGCACGAAAUCUCUAAGAUUAGUCAUGUAUACAAACAUGAAGACAGAGAGCCACCGAUGUUUGUCUUGGAAUGAGGCACUAUGGGUAUAAACAGGGGUCUACCCAAUCUGUCUCGGCGUCUUGGUGAGCCAAGAAAAGCAAAAGCCUUGGGUUCCCAAGGGCAGAAUUUCUCUUCCAUGUAGUUCAGCUUCAGGCGCAUCGGGACCUUGCACCCCUGCUCAGGCCACCAUGUCACUGCCCCAGCAGUGAGUAUCCAAGUAAUUGUGAGUACUAAGUAACUGUAACCAGUGGUUCUCAACCUGUGGGUCGUGACCCCCUUUGGCAAAUCUCUUCUCUCCAAAAAAUAUAUGUUUAGAGUACAAUUCAUAAAUUAGCAAAAUUACAGUUGUAAUUUUUAUGGUUGAGGAGCUCAUCAUAGUGUGAGGAACUAUAGGGUCACAGCAUUAGGAAGGUUGAGAACCACUGCAAACUAACCUGAGGUUGAAGACCUACAGAAAACCGAAUCCAGCACGAGGAGGAUGCAAGGCUCCCCGCAGACAGCUUUCUGGGCCCCUUCAGACACGGACUGAUACCAAGCUUAUCGUUGGUUUCUCAGCAAAGGCAGAUAAGGUGAGAGGGAACUAUUUGGAGGCAGAGAUUUCUGGAAUUUCCCCACAGUGCUGAAAUAGCAUCCAAAGUUCAAGAAGGCCAUAUUUGGACAAUGAUAAAUGGCAGCUAAUGAGAUUUGCUCCUGGAAAACUCACCAGAGCCGUAAUUCAUCGGCUGCUUUUGAGUCACUACAGCUGAAGCAGGGAGGAGCUAUAAGAAAUCAUUUUGUCACCUGCUUUAGACAGCUGAAAACCCACCCAACAAGGACCGCACUGAUCUCAGGCAAAUGAGUGGGAGACAAAAGUACCCAGAACCCUACAUCAAACACUGGAUCUCUCUACACAGCCCUGGCUGUCCUGGAACUCACUAAGUAGACCAUGUUGGUCUCGAACUCACAGAGAUCUACAAGUCUCUGCCUCCAGAGUGCUGGAAUUGAAGGUAUUUUCUGAUCCUGGCUGAGAUGUUAUAAUGGAACACCUUUAAGACCAGGUAGAGAACAUUCUGGAGUCUGCCAAGGAAAGGAACUAGUUAAGUGUUUCAGUUGUUUUCAAA